rnacentral:rRNA from 1 species
AGUGAACGCUGGCGGCAGGCCUAACACAUGCAAGUCGAACGGCAGCACAGGAGAGCUUGCUCUCUGGGUGGCGAGUGGCGGACGGGUGAGGAAUAUAUCGGAAUCUACCCUUUCGUGGGGGAUAACGUAGGGAAACUUACGCUAAUACCGCAUACGAACUGAGGUUGAAAGCGGCGGACCGCAAGGCGUCGCGCGGAUGGAUGAGCCGAUAUCCGAUUAGCUAGUUGGCGGGGUAAAGGCCCACCAAGGCGACGAUCGGUAGCUGGCCUGAGAGGAUGAGCGGCCACACGGGAACGGAGACACGGUCCAGACUCCUACGGGAGGCAGCAGUGGGGAAUAUUGGACAAUGGGCGCAAGCCUGAUUCAGCCAUGCCGCGUGUGUGAAGAAGGCCUUCGGGUUGUAAAGCACUUUUGUUGGGAAAGAAAAGCGGUCGGUUAAUACCCGGUCGUUCUGACGGUACCCAAAGAAUAAGCACCGGCUAACUUCGUGCCAGCAGCCGCCGUAACAC